ACCCAGACGUGGAAUCCACGAUCUCUCGUCUCUCCACGUCGCAUCCCAAUCCCCAUCUCCCUUCUCGCUUCUCGCUUCUUUGACCGGCGGCGCCGAUGCUCCUCCGCCGCGGCGCCGCCUCCUCCUCCUCUUCCAUGGCCUUUCCAGCGCCGUCGUUUUACCCGUCCUCCAACAGUGCUUCCCUAAAGUGUACGGUGGUGGCUGCGCUCGAUGGAGGGGCUCAACGGCGGUUUCAACAUAGCCUUGAGGUCGGGGACCUGGCGGCGGCGUCGGAGCCUCUAGCACAGGGGUUUGGCAGCGGCGGCUGCUGCUGGAGGUCCCAGCGAUUUGAGGUCGCUGCGGCUCCCCCAACAGUUUUUUGGAGGUCUUCGACGUGGUGACGACGCAUCGAGUUCGACGGGUCCCUGUCGCCGCCGGCGGUUAGGUGCGUGAUUAGCAGCUCCCUGUGUUUUCCCCUUUCAUCAAUGGGCGUGUGAUUCGAGCGAUUACAUUGAUUUAAAUGUGGAUUUCGAGUUUCUACUGUCUACUGGGUAGGCCAAUGGCAUAGAGGAGGAUUAGGACGAGAAGAAGCUGUCCUCUCUGUUGCCUCUCCUGUACAGCCCAACAUACUACUAUCAUAUUGUCUGUAGCUAGCACAUGCAGAAGAUAGACUGGCAGGAUGAGGUGGUGGUGGUUCUUCCCCAGACCCGUCACUGCUCUGGUUGCAUUUAUUACCUUUUGGGUUGUUGUCCUAUGAAUUGAGCCUAAUUAGUUGAUAUUCAACAGCUGGAGGUUAUAUUUCCUUUUUACACUGCAUCUUCUUGGUUGUUCAACAGCAGUGAUAGCAUUUGUUCCCUUAGUGAAACAGCUAUCUUGUUGUAGCAGUGAUAGCUUUUGUUCCCUUAGUGAAAUAGCUUUUGGCAAAUUGUACUAUCUUGUUGUAUUGGCUAGAUGAGUGUCCUAGAUGUUUAAUAUGGCCCGAGGAGUUUGCUAAGAUGUGUGACAGAAUUCAAAAAUAUAUUUCAAAAGAAUUUUUGUUGUUACCUCUAAAUAAAAGAAUAAUGUUCUAAAUGAUAACUAUAUUAUGUUGAAUCAUCUCUAAAGAGUUCCUUCUAUUUUUGUUCCCACUGGUUCCAUUUACAUGGUCAUGAAGCAGUUUGCUUGCUGGACCUUUUGCGUCGCUUACAUGGCUCCUCCCAUUAUAUCUGGCUUUUAGGUAAAGACUAUUCAUUUCUUUGAUUGUUGGAUAACUAAGCCAGGGUGAUGUGAAUUGCUUCUUGCUGAUUCUGCUGUAUUUAAUACAAAUUUUUCCUAUCUUUUUAACAGUGCUUCAGAGGGCAAUGAAUUCUUCUGAAGUUUUCCAUUGUUACCUGUUUUCAGUUUCAGUAAAAAACUAAGCUCUUCAAUGUAAAUGGGACAACAAUUUGAAUAGUUACUAUAAGAUCUUUUGGGAUCAAAAGAUUUACUUGUUGCAGGCUUAACUUUCAUUUACAUUGCAGAAACUUAUCAUUGGUAGAUAAGGAUGUGUUAAAAGGGGCUUGCUUAGUACAACUCAAGGCGAGGCUAAUACUAAGCCAUUCAGAACACGAUAGCCAUGACAGCCAGGCAAAGGCAACAGAAAAAGGUAAGCUGCAGGAAUUUCUCUUUUUACCUCACCAUUAAACAUUUGCCUUUCAUUGUUUGUACCUUUUUAUGAUAUGCCAUUUACAUGUCUGAUGGCCACAGAUGGUUCUGAAAUUCAAUUAUAUUUUUGUGUAACUUUGCAAACAGAUCGCCAUAUGCCCAUAUAUUGCCAUUCUUUGUAAAUGACAGGCGUAGACAUCAAUCACUCAGUCCAGUAAUUGCAUAAUAGUAGUAUUUCCUUGUUUUUAUCUUAUCAUGUGAAAAAGUCCCCUAUAAAAUUUGGCUUUCUCACUAUUAUUGCUUUGCAGAAUUAACAUGGCAAGUUUUGUACAGGAACUACAUAUGCUUGCAUUGAAGUUUCUUUGGGGAACCAGGAGAUGCUUUAAUCUUUAUUGAUGUAUUGUCCUAUGGUUUGUUGGAUAGUCGAUCUACAAAAUUAAUCCUAACACUCCCAAUUUACCUACAAGAGGUAUUCUUGGAUGGGUACAACAUGUUAGUUUGGUUCGGUUUUGUCAAUACAAAAUCAUGAGGAUUUCUAGAUGUGUAUAUUCUGUGAUAUUAUCUAUAAUUUGAUAUAUAUUAAAUUUAUCUGAUUAUACAUGAGUUUAUAUAUGCGACACCAUUACGAACUGCUACUAUAGUCUCCCCGUGUUCUCUUCAUACACAUGAAUAACAUAUAUGGUACAAUAAAAGAGAAUUGUAGUUUUACAGCCUCUGUGCAAGUAGCUUUUUAAGUUUAAAUGGUAAAUAUUUAGUUUUCCCUUAAGAGAAGUUUACCAAAAAAAAGUUCUUUCAACUGAGAUGCUUAUGAUGUGUGCUUGAUGUCGCCUUAGUCAAUCUUGAUAGGCCCAAGAUCCCCGCUCAAUCUUCAAGGAAUAGGUUUACUUCAUGAUAAUUCAUGUCUCAUGUUAAUAUUGGGAGAGGCAACCCACUAUGCUCAGCUCAUGGAUCUUCAGGAAUGGAGCUGCCAGCAUCUUAUUGACAAACAAAUACAAGGAAAAAUACUCCAUGCACAUCAACGGUUAAUGCUUUUCUAUGAGCUGGUCUUAAUAUCUCAAGGCUGCACUGUGUUAGGCUGAAGCACCCCAGUCCAAUUCUUUUGCCUACCAAAUAAACUUACCAACACCAAGUCAGUUGAGUGCUGCAAUGUGCAAAUUAAACAAUAUGGUCUCUGUAGCCUGCUCAGCAGGAAAACCAUUUGAAAUACCUGUGGAAAUAUCCCUAAACAUGCGUUAACCAUGAUGAUCUUUUUUUUUUAAAUACUGUACGGUAGGUAGAUCGAUAUUUGUCAACGCCUUAGCUAUACUAGAAUACGAGGGGCAUCUAAGAGAAAAAUACAAAUAUUGAAGGCUCUCAUGGUAGUUUGGUAGCUAAUUAAUCACAUAGGUGAUGUAUAUUUGUUUCUAGCAUUUAUAUCAGUCCAUUGAUUCACAGUGGAUACUCAGUUAUUGCAUUUAGAUGUCUCUUUUCAGGAACCUUUAUAUUUAAGUUCCUUUACAUGGCUA